rnacentral:rRNA from 1 species
AUACGUAGGGGGCAAGCGUUGUCCGGAAUUAUUGGGCGUAAAGGGUGCGUAGGCGGCCAAAUAAGUCAGAUGUGAAAGGCCACGGCUUAACUGUGGAAUUGCAUUUGAAACUGUUUGGCUUGAGUUUCGGAGAGGGUAGUGGAAUUCCCGGAGUAGCGGUGAAAUGCGUAGAUAUCGGGAGGAACACCAGUGGCGAAGGCGACUACCUGGACGAAUACUGACGCUGAUGCACGAAAGCUAGGGGAGCAAACAGGAUUAGAUACCCUGGUAGUCCUAGCCGUAAACGAUGGGUACUAGGUGUAGGUAGUUUCGAUACUAUCUGUGCCGCAGUUAACGCAUUAAGUACCCCGCCUGGGGAGUACGUUCGCAAGAAUGAA